rnacentral:tRNA from 1 species
CAGAAACUAAAGUAGUCUUUUUUGGUGGCUUUGAAGGCCUCUAGUUUAGUAUAACUUAAGUUUCU